rnacentral:rRNA from 1 species
AUUGAACGCUGGCGGCAGGCCUAACACAUGCAAGUCGAGCGAGCGGCGGACGGGUGAGUAAUGUCUGGGAAGCGCCCAGUCGGGGGGGAUAACAGUUGAAAACGACUGCUAAUACCGCAUACUAGUGGAUCGCCCAGGUGGGUUUAGCUAGUUGGUGAGGUAAUGGCUCACCAAGGCGACGAUCCCUAGCUGGUCUGAGAGGAUGAUCAGCCACACUGGAACUGAGACACGGGCCAGACUCCUACGGGAGGCAGCAGUGGGGAAUAUUGCACAAUGGGCGAAACCCUGAUGCAGCCAUGCCGCGUGUGUGAAGAAGGCCUUCGGGUUGUAAAGCACUUUCAGCGAGGAGGCGUUACUCGCAGAAGAAGCACCGGCUAACUCCGUGCCAGCAGCCGCGGUAAUUC